rnacentral:rRNA from 1 species
UUGUAAUUUGUAGAGAGUGCUUCGGGCGAGACCUCGGUCUAAGUCCAUUGGAACAUGGUGUCAUAGAGGGUGAGAAUCCCGUAUGCGACCGUGGCUCGAGCCCAUGUGAAGCCUCUUCGACGAGUCGAGUUGUUUGGGAAUGCAGCUCAAAAUGGGUGGUAAAUUUCAUCUAAAGCUAAAUACUGGCUGGAGACCGAUAGCGCACAAGUAGAGUGAUCGAAAGAUGAAAAGCACUUUGGAAAGAGAGUCAAACAGUACGUGAAAUUGUUGAAAGGGAAGCGCUUGCAACCAGACCUGCCCGUAGGCGAUCAGCCGCUGUUCUCAGCGGUGUACUCGCUCUGCGAUCAGGCCAGCAUCGGUUUCGGCGGUCGGAUAAAGGCCUUGGGAAUGUAGCUUCCCUUCGGGGGAGUCUUAUAGCCCUCGGUGCAAUGCGGCCAGCCGGGACCGAGGACCGCGCUCCGGCUAGGAUGCUGGCGUAAUGGUUGUAAGCGACCCGUCUUGAAACACGGACCAAGGAGUCUAACAUCUAUGCGAGUGUUUGGGUGUCAAACCCAUACGCGGAAUGAAAGUGAACGGAGGUGAGAACCCUCAAGGGCGCAUCAUCGACCGAUCCAGAUGUCUUCGGAUGGAUUUGAGUAUGAGCAUAGCUGUUGGGACCCGAAAGAUGGUGAACUAUGCCUGAAUAGGGUGAAGCCAGAGGAAACUCUGGUGGAGGCUCGCAGCGGUUCUGACGUGCAAAUCGAUCGUCAAAUUUGGGUAUAGGGGCGAAAGACUAAUC